GCGUCUGCCCACGUCUUCCUGGCUGCUUGGGUGACACCGCCCAAACGCGGCUCAUUAUUCUGUUUUUCUUCCUUGCCUGAGCAAGACAAUGGUGGUGGUGGUGGAGCAGGAGAGGAGAGACCUGUUCCCAGCGGUGAUUUCAAUGAGUGACCCUGCUUGGAGUGACAUUCACCAACAGCCCAGCCAGAAGAGGUGAAAGGAAACCAGGUAAAAAUCAGGAGAAUGGGGAAUGAAAAUCACACUCACUUCACAUUUCAUCGCUAGACUGCAGGGGAAAGAGAAGAUGCCCCAGCAGCAGAAAGCUUAGCUGGGAACACAGGCUCUGGGACGAGAAGAGGCACACCCAGCCGGGCUCACUUCUGACCCUUUGCUGAACUCAGUCUUGCCCCUGCCCAGAUUAAGGGCUAAGCCAGUCCUCAUCGUCAGCACAGCAGUAUCGAGAGGAAGACUGCGGCUGCUCUAAUUGCUAUGAAGUCUCUUGCCCUCAAAACCCUGAAGCACCAAAGCCUGAAUCCUUCCCGCGAAACACUGACCUCUCUCUCUCGGGCCCAGUCAUGCCCACUGCCCAAGUGCAGCAGCCGGGGAGAGCAGAGAUUGUUCUCAUCAUCGCCAAGGGCCGUGGAGAAGAGGAUGCUAGGAGACUUGCCUAUGAAUGAGGGCUUCUAUCUCACAUGUCCUCAGCCUUCUCAUGUUGGCCUUGACUUUCCAUCCUCAGUCUUGUGGUUGGCUGAAAUGUGGGCAUGUGGGUGGUAGGCAAGGACAGGUGCCCUUCUUUCUCUUUCAGAUCGUUCCCCCUGCUUGGCUGGGCUGCUUCUGUGUUCCCUGGAGAUGACAGCUAGGAACCUGGCCACCAGCUUCUGUUGUUCCCUGGGUUCCUUUUGGGCUUGGCCAGUGUGAGACAAGGGCAGGACAUCAGAAGUUGAGAGAGCAUCUCUUCCCCAUUGCUGCCUUUGCUGCCAUGUUUUGUCCCUGACAGGAGCUAUGCCCCUCCAUUCUGUGGCUCUCCCAGGUGACAUCCUGUAGGGUCUCAGCUCUCAAUAUAGACCAGCCACAUUAUUUCUUCCCUUGGCUCCUCUGGGCUCCAGGAUGACAGCAUCUCCCUGCUAUUACCAGUUCCCAGGGGGAGUUGGGGGUGGGGCCUCAGCAUUCCUGACACCUCCCAAUGAUCUAUAAACUAUUCCUCUACUG